GCAGUCGAGCGAACAUCUUGCGGAAGCCUUCGGGUGGAAGCAAGAUUGACUGAGCGGCGGACGGGUGAGUAACGCGUGGGUGACCUGCCUCAUACAGGGGGAUAACAGUUAGAAAUGACUACUAAUACCGCAUAAGCGCACAGUGCUGCAUGGCACAGUGUGAAAAACUCCGGUGGUAUGAGAUGGACCCGCGUCUGAUUAGGUAGUUGGUGGGGUAGCGGCCCACCAAGCCGACGAUCAGUAGCCGACCUGAGAGGGUGACCGGCCACAUUGGGACUGAGACACGGCCCAAACUCCUACGGGAGGCAGCAGUGGGGAAUAUUGGACAAUGGGGGAAACCCUGAUCCAGCGACGCCGCGUGACUGAAGAAGUAUUUCGGUAUGUAAAGGUCUAUCAGCAGGGAAGAAAAUGACGGUACCUGACUAAGAAGCCCCGGCUAACUACGUGCCAGCAGCCGCGGUAAUACGUAGGGGGCAAGCGUUAUCCGGAUUUACUGGGUGUAAAGGGAGCGUAGACGGCGAUGCAAGUCUGGAGUGAAAGCCCGGGGCUCAACCCCGGGACUGCUUUGGAAACUGUGUUGCUAGAGUGCAGGAGAGGUAAGUGGAAUUCCUAGUGUAGCGGUGAAAUGCGUAGAUAUUAGGAGGAACACCAGUGGCGAAGGCGGCUUACUGGACUGUAACUGACGUUGAGGCUCGAAAGCGUGGGGAGCAAACAGGAUUAGAUACCCUGGUAGUCCGCGCCGUAAACGAUGAAUACUAGGUGUUGGGGAGCAAAGCUCUUCGGUGCCGUCGCAAACGCAGUAAGUAUUCCACCUGGGGAGUACGUUCGCAAGAAUGAAACUCAAAGGAAUUGACGGGGACCCGCACAAGCGGUGGAGCAUGUGGUUUAAUUCGAAGCAACGCGAAGAACCUUACCAAGUCUUGACAUCGGAAUGACCGGUCCGUAACGGGGCCUUCCCUUCGGGGCAUUCCAGACAGGUGGUGCAUGGUUGUCGUCAGCUCGUGUCGUGAGAUGUUGGGUUAAGUCCCGCAACGAGCGCAACCCUUAUCCUUAGUAGCCAGCAGGUAGAGCUGGGCACUCUGGGGAGACUGCCAGGGAUAACCUGGAGGAAGGUGGGGAUGACGUCAAAUCAUCAUGCCCCUUAUGAUUUGGGCUACACACGUGCUACAAUGGCGUAAACAAAGGGAAGCGAAGCCGUGAGGUGAAGCAAAUCCCAAAAAUAACAUCUCAGUUCGGAUUGUAGUCUGCAACUCGACUACAUGAAGCUGGAAUCGCUAGUAAUCGCGA
rnacentral:rRNA from 1 species